UUGCUUCGACACACAGCACAUAAUAAUAAAAUUGGAACAACACAGAGAAGAUUGAAUGGCCCCUGUGCAACAAUAACACACGAAUUCAUGAGGCAAUCCAUAUUUCU
rnacentral:snRNA from 1 species